rnacentral:rRNA from 1 species
AGCUCCAAUAGCGUAUAUUAAAGUUGUUGCAGUUAAAAAGCUCGUAGUUGGAUCUCGGGUCCGGGCUGACGGUCCGCCCAGUCGGCGGUCACUGUCUGACCCGACCUACCUGCCGGUCUUCCCCUGGUGCUCUUCGCUGAGUGUCUGGGGCGGCCGGGACGUUUACUUUGAAAAAAUUAGAGUGCUCAAGGCAGGCGUCCUCGCCUGAAUAUUCGUGCAUGGAAUAAUGGAAGAGGACCUCGGUUCUAUUUUGUUGGUUUUCGGAACUCGAGGUAAUGAUUAAGAGGAACUGACGGGGGCAUUCGUAUUACGGUGUUAGAGGUGAAAUUCUUGGAUCGCCGUAAGACGAACUACUGCGAAAGCAUUUGCCAAGAAUGUUUUCA